UCAAUUUACUGUUAGUCCAGUUAGUCACAUCUAUGUCUCUGUCUUGUCGAAGUCAUCUGCUCUGAUGCCCAAGAUAAAACAUCUCCCUAAUUAGACUUGAUAGAUGGUAUAUUAGUCUUUCAAUUGGUUUGCUCAUUUCUGAUUAGACUAAUGACAUGUUUAGGUUCAUCUACUAGUAUAAGUUGUCUUUCCAUAUAACAAUUUGACUACGUAAUAUUGCUUAAUAUUAGUUAAACAUUAGACAACCAGUGAGCUAAUAUUUGUUUCUAUUUUGCUUUACAUGCAAAGUCCACAUGAUGACAUUAUACAAAGAAUACUAAUGAAAUUUAUAAAUAAUUUUAUUAACCAAUCUGUUAAAAAAAAUUAUAAGUAUACAAAUGAAUAUACUACAAUUAGGGCACCAGAUCCAAUUGACACAAAAAAAUGUUAUAUUUAUACAACACCCAUACAGAAAUGCACAACAGACCCUAUUUGGCAUGCCAACCGUAUCUUAUCCCUUCUAUCAAGUAUGACAAUGUAAAGGUUAUAUUCUUAUAUUAUUAAAAUGUAAGAUUUCGUAAUCUAUAUGUACAGAGCAUAUUAAAGACAAAGCCACAAAUGGAUUAUCAAUUAUCAUUUUCCUAUCAAGGAAGGGUAUUACGACCUUAUAUCAUAAAUUGUUAGAUUAUUACACAUUAAUAACAAAACAACAUGCCCAUUUUCAUUAGUUUACAUUCAUCCACAUAAAUCCAACUUUUGUAAUUCAACUCACAAUGUUGAAUGAAAUUAAGUUAAUUUGAGAUAUCAAAACACAUUCUAACUCUAUUUUGAUAUACAUGAAACUUUUGCAUAAAUGCUCAUGUCCUGGAUCCAAUGCCCAUAACUUAAUUUUUCAUCUCAUACUUAUUACUUAUUUCAAGACGUGACACAUGAAUAACACAAGUUGUCACAAUUGUAAAAGUUACAUAUUGUCCAUCUACAUAUAGUAGAUCAUGAAGGUUCCAAUAAAAGGCUAAACACACUUUUUCCAUUAUAUUGCACAAUUGUCAUUUCUCAAUGCACAUCAAUGUUCAUUUCAUCAUUAUAGCCAUGCCAUGCUUACAUCAGGUUAUGACAAAUUUUCCUCAAUUAUUAAUUACCAAACUUAAUAUAUUUUAACAUUAAUUAAUAAAGUAUAAAUGGUAGGUCCCUGUAGAAUGUACCUUAAAUCAUGAAUAUGGAGGAAAGCUUUUCUUCCUUCUUCAAUCUCCAAGGCCUCCUCUUUCUCAUAUAAUAAACACAAUAAUAAAUUUACGAAAUAACCACAAAUAAAAUAACCAUAUUCAUGGCUCAACAAUAUAAAGAGCGUGAAAGACAAAAUGAGUGUGAUGAAAUGAUAAAACACAUAAACUCUUACCAUGGAUGACACUUUCUUUCACUAUAGUUCCCCUUCUCUCGACACAAGCCAAGGCUUAGUCUCAGGUGAUGGAGAUGAUGAAUGAAAAUCGCUCGAAUAAGGUUUCUUUAAGAUGGGUCUAGGAUAACUAAAGAAAUUUUAUGGAAGUUUGAG
rnacentral:lncRNA from 1 species